GAUGAACGCUAGCUACAGGCUUAACACAUGCAAGUCGAGGGGAAACGACAUCGAAAGCUUGCUUUUGAUGGGCGUCGACCGGCGCACGGGUGAGUAACGCGUAUCCAACCUGCCCAUCACUUGGGAAUAACCUUGCGAAAGUAAGACUAAUACCCAAUGAUAUCCCACGAAGGCAUCGGAAUGGGAUUAAAGAUUUAUCGGUGAUGGAUGGGGAUGCGUCUGAUUAGCUUGUUGGCGGGGUAACGGCCCACCAAGGCAACGAUCAGUAGGGGUUCUGAGAGGAAGGUCCCCCACAUUGGAACUGAGACACGGUCCAAACUCCUACGGGAGGCAGCAGUGAGGAAGAUUGGUCAAUGGGCGAGAGCCUGAACCAGCCAAGUAGCGUGCAGGAAGACGGCCCUAUGGGUUGUAAACUGCUUUUAUAAGGGAAUAAAGUGGGUCACGUGUGACUUUUUGCAUGUACCUUAUGAAUAAGGACCGGCUAAUUCCGU
rnacentral:rRNA from 1 species